CGGUAGAGCUGCACUUGGUGUACAAUUCGCGACGCAUUUCCUGGCCGACUUCAACCUGGGAGGGAGUGCUACGGACCCAGCGGUUCUUCACUAAGGAAUAGAUGUAGCUGACAGGCGGUGUACGUGGGCCCUUUGAAGACCAUGCGGAGCAAACUGGCUGCCAGAAGACUGACCAUCGCCAGCAAACACACAUAUUUCCAAAGAGAUACAUCAGGAGCAACUCUGGGUUCAUUAUCCUGCCAAGAUUACCUUGACAUGAAGCCUGGAAGAGCUACCAACAUUUCAAUUUGUAGACAUCCUGCUCCAUCCUGCUGAGCCACUGUGAGAAGGUCCACUAAAAAUAUUUCUGCCCAUUUUGGAAGAUGCGUUGUCAGUGCAGGUGUCCAUGUUUAAGAUGGCUAGCUAACAUCAGCAGCUUUUUCCCAGCCAUUGAUUUUGCGUGUCUGUUUCUUAGUGUUAAUGUGUACUAAAAUGUUAUAAUCACUGUAGAAGAUUAUAGUACUGUCAGAUACACAAAAAGUUUAGAAUAAUUGAAAAUGCAGUUAUUAAUUUCCAUCGAAUACAUUUAAGACAAGCUGUCAAGUAAGCACAGUGAAUAUAUGGAAAAAUACUAAUGUAAGUGGGAACAUGGCAUGUCUGAGCCCGCGCUGGA